rnacentral:rRNA from 1 species
UACGAAGGGGGCUAGCGUUGCUCGGAAUCACUGGGCGUAAAGGGUGCGUAGGCGGGUUUUUAAGUCAGGGUGAAAUCCUGGAGCUCAACUCCAGAACUGCCUUUGAUACUGAAGAUCUUGAGUCCGGGAGAGGUGAGUGGAACUGCGAGUGUAGAGGUGAAAUUCGUAGAUAUUCGCAAGAACACCAGUGGCGAAGGCGGACUCACUGGCCCGGUACUGGACGCUGAGGCACGAAAGCUAGGGA